GCCAAGCUAGCCAAGGUGGUCACGGCGCGUGUCUGAAAAACACGAGAUUGAGGUUCGACUCCUCAGCUUGGCACAA
rnacentral:tRNA from 1 species